rnacentral:rRNA from 1 species
CGCAGAAUUAAUUUAUAUACCCUACUUAUUUACAUUUAUUGUACUUGAUUUUGAAGAAUUUGGCGGUGAUUUAUUCUUGUCAAAGGAACCUGUUUUUGAAUCGAUACCCCACGAAAAAUCUUACUUAAGCUUGUUGUAGUAUGUAUACCAUCAUUAUUAGGUAAUUUUUAUAAAAUAAAUUACUGUAUAUUUGUUAAUAACGUUAAAUAUAUUAAAUCAAGGUGCACCUAAGGCUUAAGUUAAAAUGGGUUACAAUAAAAUUUAUUUAAUACGGAAUAUCAAUUUAAACAGUUGAUUAAAAGGAGGAUUUGAUUGUAAAGUAAGUUUAAUAAGCUUAGUUAGAUAUAAGCUCUAAAUCAUGUACACACCGCCCGCCACACACACAAAA